AGAGUUUGAUCAUGGCUCAGAACGAACGCUGGCGGCAUGCCUAACACAUGCAAGUCGAACGAGACCUUCGGGGUCUAGUGGCGCACGGGUGCGUAACGCGUGGGAACCUGCCUUUAGGUUCGGAAUAACUCAGAGAAAUUUGAGCCAAUACCGGAUAAUGUCUUCGGACCAAAGAUUUAUCGCCUUUAGAUGGGCCCGCGUAAGAUUAGCUAGUUGGUGGGGUAAAGGCCUACCAAGGCGACGAUCUUUAGCUGGUCUGAGAGGAUGAUCAGCCACACUGGGACUGAGACACGGCCCAGACUCCUACGGGAGGCAGCAGUGGGGAAUAUUGGACAAUGGGCGAAAGCCUGAUCCAGCAAUGCCGCGUGAGUGAUGAAGGCCUUAGGGUUGUAAAGCUCUUUUACCCGAGAUGAUAAUGACAGUAUCGGGAGAAUAAGCUCCGGCUAACUCCGUG
rnacentral:rRNA from 1 species